UAGCCUACGGGAGGCAGCAGUGGGGAAUAUUGCACAAUGGGGGAAACCCUGAUGCAGCGACGCCGCGUGAAGGAAGAAGUAUUUCGGUAUGUAAACUUCUAUCAGCAGGGAAGAAAAUGACGGUACCUGACUAAGAAGCCCCGGCUAACUACGUGCCAGCAGCCGCGGUAAUACGUAGGGGGCAAGCGUUAUCCGGAAUUACUGGGUGUAAAGGGAGCGUAGACGGUGAUGCAAGUCUGGAGUGAAAGGCGGGGGCCCAACCCCCGGACUGCUCUGGAAACUGUAUGACUUGAGUGCAGGAGAGG
rnacentral:rRNA from 1 species